UACGUAGGGUGCAAGCGUUAAUCGGAAUUAUUGGGCGUAAAGGGCGCGUAGGCGGCCAUGCGUGUCUUCCGUGAAAUCCCUCGGCUUAACUGAGGACGUGCGGAAGAAACUGCAAGGCUCGAGUCCGGGAGAGGAGGGUGGAAUUCCCAGUGUAGCGGUGAAAUGCGUAGAUAUUGGGAGGAACACCGGUGGCGAAGGCGGCCCUCUGGACCGGUACUGACGCUGAUGCGCGAAAGCGUGGGUAGCAAACGGG
rnacentral:rRNA from 1 species